AACGAACGCUGGCGGCAUGCCUAACACAUGCAAGUCGAACGAGACCUUCGGGUCUAGUGGCGCACGGGUGCGUAACGCGUGGGAACCUGCCCUUAGGUUCGGAAUAACUCCCCGAAAGGGGUGCUAAUACCGGAUAAUGUCUUCGGACCAAAGAUUUAUCGCGUUUGGAUGGGCCCGCGUUGGAUUAGCUAGUUGGUAGGGUAAAAGCCUACCAAGGCGACGAUCCAUAGCUGGUCUGAGAGGAUGAUCAGCCACACUGGGACUGAGACACGGCCGAGACUCCUACGGGAGGCAGCAGUGGGGAAUAUUGGACAAUGGGCGAAAGCCUGAUCCAGCAAUGCCGCGUGAGUGAUGAAGGCCUUAGGGUUGUAAAGCUCUUUUACCCGGGAUGAUAAUGACAGUACCGGGAGAAUAAGCUCCGGCUAACUCCGUG
rnacentral:rRNA from 1 species